rnacentral:lncRNA from 1 species
CCAAGCUGCUAAUAGGAAGUUUCGUUCAUCUUGCUUGGGUGAAUGCUCAGAUAGGAUCUGAUCAGCAGAGGUGCUCGCUGCAACUGAACUUGGGCAACUUCAACUCCCACUCAAUGCGUUUGCCAGGUCCCAGAACCAGUCCACAGACAGCUCAGUGUGUGGCACUCCAGUUUACGUGAGAAACUCUACCAUGGGAUGCACGCACAGGUCCAUCUCGCAUUCAGGGUCCCGGUCAAGCAUUUCUGCGUGGCCUGUGGCUCUGGAGCUUACUUUAUAAUGGAGGAGUGAAGUCAUCUGUUAAGUGGGUGCCUUUGCUUGAAGGCAAACAGCUGAUUGAGGCUAAUUAGAGAGAGGUGCAGGUUAGGACAAGAAGGCGCAGACAGAAGUACAGCUCCUGGAUCUAACUCAUGGCACUUCACAGAAA